UGACAAUUAAGCCUUAUAUGUCACAGUGUGAAGUAGGGACACAGGCACUCGGUGCACAGCUGCUGUAAACCAGCCAGAACCAGUCCAUGGUCGGUGACCUCAACAGGAGACAGAAAAACUGAGAAAGCAGUACUGGAAUCCCACAAGCCCCACACCACUUUCUGAUGCCGUGAACGUUUUUCCUGGUGUGGUGCAUCUGCCUCAGUCAUAGAAGCAGUGUUGGUAAUCAGCAUCGUGGAGGCGGCGUCAGUGGUCAGCGUCGUGGAGGUGGCGUCGGUGGUCAGCAUCGUGGAGGCCAGGUCAGUGGUCAGCGUCGUGGAGGUGGCAUCGGUAGUCAGUGUGGUGGAGGCAGCGUUGGUAAUCAGCGUUGUGGAGGCCACGUUGGUAGAGUCAUGGAGGCAGUGUCGGUAAUCAGCGUUGUGGAGGCAGCGUCGUUAGUCAGCGUCAUGGAGGCGGCGUUGGUGGUCACUGUCGUGGAGGCCACGUUGAUAGCAUCAUGGAGGCAGCGUCGGUAGUCAGCGUCGUGGGGGCGGCGUCGGUAGUCAGCGUCGUGGAGGCAGUGUCGGUAGCGUCGUGGA
rnacentral:lncRNA from 1 species